CCCCAGGUGUGUCCCCAGGUGUGCCCAGGUGUCCCCAGGUGUGUCCCCAGCUGUCCCCAGGUGUCCCCAGGUGUGCCCAGGUGUCCCCAGGUGUCCCAGGUGUGCCCAGGUGCGCUCACGUUGUCGGUCAGGGUGACGUCGGCCCCUCGGGUCAGCAGUCGCCGAAUGACCUCGAUGUGUUUGUGCUCGGCCGCCCAAAUGAUCGGGGUCCAGCCGCCAUUGUCCUGAGGGGUCACCCAGGGGUCACCCAAAAACACCCCAAACACCCCAAAACCAACCCAAAAUCACCCCAAAACCAACCCCAAAAUCAGCCCAAAAACAACCCCAAAAAGAGCCCCAAAACAACCUAAAAACAGCCCAAAAACAACCCCCAAAACAACCCAAAACCAACCCAAAAACACCCCAAAAACAACCACAAAAACACCCCAAAUCACCCCAAAAACACCCCCAAAACAGCCCAAAAACAACCCAAAAACACCCCAAAUCACCCCAAAAACACCCAAAAAAUUAGCCUAAAAACACCCCAAAACCACCCCAAAACCACACCCAAAAACAUCCCAAAAUCACCCAAAAACAACCGAAAAACAACCAAAAACUCCAAAAACAACCCAAAACAACCCCAAAAACAGCCCACAUCACCCCAAAACCAGCCCCUAAACAACCCCAAAAACAUCCCAAAAACAACCCCAAAACAACCCAAAACCAGCCCAAAAAUAACCCCAAAACAACCCAAAAACAGCCCAAAUCACCCCAAAACAACCCCAAAACACCCCAAAUCACCCCAAAAACAACGGAAAAACACCCAAAAUCACCCAAAACCACCCAAAACCAGCCCAAAAACACCCAAAAAACACCCAAAACCACCCAAAAACAGCCCCAGAGCAGCCCUGACCCUCUGACCACUGCCAGGACACUCUGGACAGUGAGUGGACACUCAGGGGUCACUCAGGGGUCACUCAGGGGUCACUCAAUGGUCAGUGGUCACUCAGGGGUCACUCAGGGUCACUCAGGGGUCAGGGGUCACUCAGUGGUCACUCAGGGGUCACUCAGAGGUCACUCGGGGUCACUCAGGACACAGAGUGGACACUCACACACUCAGGGGUCACUCAGGGGUCACUCAGGGGUCACUCAGGGGUCACUCAGGGGUCACUCAGGGUCACUCAAUGGUCAGUGGUCACUCAGUGGUCACUCAAUGGUCACUCACCUGGGCGUUGACGUCCACCUGGCCGGUGCCCAGCAGCAGCUCCACCAUCUCCAGGUUCCCGUUCUUGGCCGCGUGGUGCAGGCAGGUGGAGCCGUCCUCCUCCUGUGACGUCAUCGACGCCCGCGCGGUGACGUCAUCGAUGGCAGCGCAGUGACGUCAUCGACGGACGCGCAGUGACGUCAUACACGGGGGUGGUGACAUCAUCAAUGUGGGGCACGGUGAUGUCAUACCCAGGGGGUGGUGACGUCAUACGUGUGUGUGUGUGGUGAUGUCAUACCCAGGGGGUGGUGACGUCAUACAUAUGGGGGAAGUGACG
rnacentral:lncRNA from 1 species